rnacentral:rRNA from 1 species
UACGUAGGCAGCAAGCGUUGUUCGGAGUUACUGGGCGUAAAGGGUGUGUAGGCGGUUAUUUAAGUUUGGUGUGAAAUCUCCCGCUCAACCGGGAGGGUGCGCCGAAUACUGAAUGACUUGGAGUGCGGGAGAGGAAAGUGGAAUUCCUGGUGUAGCGGUGAAAUGCGUAGAUAUCGUCAAGAACACCGAAUAGUGAAAGACAGCUUUACU